CCUACGGGGGGCUGCAGUGGGGAAUCUUGCGCAAUGGGCGAAAGCCUGACGCAGCCAUGCCGCGUGAAUGAUGAAGGUCUUAGGAUUGUAAAAUUCUUUCACCGGGGACGAUAAUGACGGUACCCGGAGAAGAAGCCCCGGCUAACUUCGUGCCAGCAGCCGCGGUAAUACGAAGGGGGCUAGCGUUGCUCGGAAUUACUGGGCGUAAAGGGCGCGUAGGCGGAUCGUUAAGUCAGAGGUGAAAUCCCGGAGCUCAACUUCGGAACUGCCUUUGAUACUGGCGAUCUUGAGUGUGAGAGAGGUAUGUGGAACUCCGAGUGUAGAGGUGAAAUUCGUAGAUAUUCGGAAGAACACCAGUGGCGAAGGCGACAUACUGGCUCAUUACUGACGCUGAGGCGCGAAAGCGUGGGGAGCAAACAGGAUUAGAUACCCCAGUAGUC
rnacentral:rRNA from 1 species